rnacentral:rRNA from 1 species
AGUGAACGCUGGCGGUAGGCCUAACACAUGCAAGUCGAACGGCAGCACAGGAGAGCUUGCUCUCUGGGUGGCGAGUGGCGGACGGGUGAGGAAUACAUCGGAAUCUACUCUGUCGUGGGGGAUAACGCAGGGAAACUUACGCUAAUACCGCAUACGACCUACGGGUGAAAGCAGGGGAUCUUCGGACCUUGCGCGAUUGAAUGAGCCGAUGUCGGAUUAGCUAGUUGGCGGGGUAAAGGCCCACCAAGGCGACGAUCCGUAGCUGGUCUGAGAGGAUGAUCAGCCACACUGGAACUGAGACACGGGCCAGACUCCUACGGGAGGCAGCAGUGGGGAAUAUUGGACAAUGGGCGCAAGCCUGAUCCAGCCAUACCGCGUGGGUGAAGAAGGCCUUCGGGUUGUAAAGCCCUUUUGUUGGGAAAGGAAUCCAGCUGGCUAUACCCGGUUGGGAUGACGGUACCCAAAGAAUAAGCACCGGCUAACUUCGUGCCAGCCGCCGCCGUAA